CUCCGCGUCGUCACCCCAGGCCGCUGCGCGCCACCCGCCCCCGGACACCCCGCUGCCGUCGGCCACCUGCACUACCCCGACCGCCCUGGCCCCAACGCCGCCGCUCCUAACCUCCGCCGUCCAGUGGAAGUCGGUUCAACAUUUACAAUGUGCUUCUUCAACGUCUUCAAUGGACUGAGUCAACACUCUGGUUACACUAUUUCAACAUUUUGUAUCAAAAAUGUUGAAUGCAUUUUUUGAAAUGUUGAACCAAUUUGUAUGGAAUGUUGAAUCUAAUUGGACUAUAAUGGGCUUAGAUAUGAUGCUUAACUGCCGUCCGGAAGUUAUAUAGGAAGCCCCCGCCCCACCACGUCCCUCCGGCCUCCGCCCGUGGCGACGGUGGUCCGCCGCCGCCUCCUCGAGGUCAAAUGGAGGCCUCGCCCCCUCGCCGCAAACAACGGCUAUCGUCGCCAGAUCCGGCAGCGGAGGCGGCCGCGCCGAGCCUCGACUCGCUCCCGCCGGAAAUCCUCGAGAAAAUCAUCUCCUGCCUCCACGUCCGCGACGCCGUGCGCACCUGCUCGCUCUCCCGCGCCUGGCGCCGCCGCUGGGAGUCAACCCCCGGCAUCCGCUUCUUCUGGGACUCCUCCGCCGCCGCCGCGCCCCCGGCCGCCAUCGACGCCGUCCUCGCGCGGUACGCGUGCCCCGUCCGCGACUUCUGCUACUGGGAGAUCCCCGAGGAGGCCUUCGCCCGCACGGACGAAUGGAUCCCCGCCCUCGCCGGGAAGGGGGUCCAAUCCCUCACUCUUCGUUUCAGGGAGUACCUCCGUGUGGAUAUCCACACGCUUCACCUCGCCGUCUUCUCCUGCCGCGAGCUCACUCACCUCACGCUCCACGGCUGCUUCGUCCCAACCGCGCCCCCCUCUUUCGCAGGGUUUCCGAAAUUGACCUGGUUAAGUCUCACCAUGGUCGGCUUUCAUGAACAUGGGGAGAGAGAUUUGGAGGCGAUGAUCCACAUGUCUCCGUUGCUUGAGACGCUGGAGCUUAAGGAUAUUCAGAUUCUUGGUGACGAGUUUGAUGAAUGGGUCAUUCAAGCCCCGAAUCUCCGCCACUUAAGUUUUGAGGCAGAUGAAGAUUAUGGGCUACAGAUCGGAGAGCUUCCAUCUCUCGAUAAAGCAUAUGUUACUAUUCAAGAGUACUCCUCCGUUGAUCGGGAUUUCGUCAAGUUUCUCACACGUCUCGCUCAAGUCAGGGUGCUCGAGUUCCGGAUACCAGUAAAAUGUUGGCAGAUAUUGAUGUUCUCGAGAGACUAUCAUGUAUUCAUGUUCUUUCCAGAUGUUAAAGAGGCUGGUACUCCAUGUGGACUUUUGCAAUGUGUCUAGCAUUUUAUCUAUGUUUUCUUUACUAAAGAGUGCUCCCAACCUCCAACAACUGGAAACUAUGAUUGUGGACAGUCAACUGAAUGAUGAAGUUGAUCUAGAAUUUUUCAGUGCACAAUGCACCAACAGUCUCUUCCCAAAGCUCAAGACUGUUACCGUCACAGAUACCCCACUAUGGUCAAAUGAGAUGUAUUUUAUUGAGUUCAUUCUGUCCAAAGCAAGGCUACUUUGUGCCCUUUUUGUUUAUAAGGAUGAUGAUAGUGACUACUCAAAUCCCAGUGAAGAGGCGGUUAUCCAGCUAGCAAAAUUUAGAAGGGCGUCUCCAAAAGCUAGGGUCUUCUUCAGAACGAUGGAUGAAUAUUGGAGGCAUGAAAUAGUACUGAGUAAAAUGGUUGACCUAUUGUGAUGUCAGAUCAGCGGAGACGAUUGAAGGUGCAAACUGCAUGAUCUUGCUAGAGGAUCAAACGGCACCAAAAUAAUUGUUUUAGUACCUAGCACUGAUGUGAGGCAUCAAAUUGUAAUGUGUUGCACCUGAGUAUUGUACUGCCAUUGGACUUCUGACGAGAUGGCACGGUUUUUUUGUUUUUGUUUGGGUGACUUGUUUGGCUCCAACUUUUUACCUGUAUGCAACCAUAUCAACUUGUUUGGCAUCACUUCUCUUCUCA